rnacentral:snoRNA from 1 species
CUCAACACUGCACCUGUCUCUUGGCUGUGGGUUGACGCAGCCAGAGCCGAGCCGAGACUCACCCAGGCUUGGAAAAUGGGUGUUUUCCUGUGGAUGAGCCUGAGCCAAAAGCACAGGAACAGCC